AGCAGGUCUGGCAGGAGCAGCACAAGCCUCAAUACAUGGGGCCUGACUCACCACUAUAUUACUCCACUAUCCCUUCUUGUGUGGUGGACGCUUGUUUGCUGCUUUGCUGAGAAAAGAUUAUCAAGCCAAAAUCCAGAGGAAGAAACUCAAUUUCUGCUUUGGGGAAAAGUUCGUGUCUCUGUCCAGCUGAUGUGAAAUUGUGUAAUGCCCAAAGAAGUUCUGAUCUCCCCAUAGGUUCCCCGUGCAGAUGUCAUACGACGGCAAGCAUGGAGCCUGCUCAGCUCACCGGCACCGUACGUCUCCUGGGUGCUGGCAGACAUGGAAAAGCAGUUGCUUCAGGACUGUCCUUGUGGGGGCGACAGGGUCUGAUCUGCGUGCUUCCUAACUGGCCUGGUUUGUGGUGCUGAAUACAGAUGAACGUGCGGGUGUGACUGAAGCUCUGACCUUUCUAGCCCAUCCAGUGAGGGCAAAGGCAUGGAGGUGAGCUGGGCUGCAUCUGUCAUUUACCAUGGAGCCAUCCUCCCUUUUCCUGCUAGCAAAUAAAUAAAGACUCUCAGAGCACACUUCUCCACAGAGCAAGGCUAUUUGGUUCACCUUCAGCAGCUCCUUCACUCACUCAUAGAGGAUCCGCUUUCCAAGUAUUGAAUACAGUUACAUUACAUAGCGUGCAGCCUCUCCUCACAGGCCCCGUGCGCCCCCUCCCCCCAGCUUUGCUGCAGCGCUCCGGACUGACUGCAGCAGAAACGUAAUCCGUUUAGUGACUGCAGCGAGUGGAAUUGAAAGUGAACUCUCUCAGGCUCCGCUAUGCUCAGCAUGGAGGGGUCAGGGCCCGCACGGAUGCAGGAUGUUCAAUGCAUGAUUUUUUUAUUAAAAACAAAAACAAAACAAAAAAAGGAAGGAAGGGAAUUGUAGUGUGGGCGGAAGGCACUGGGGUUUCAGCCCUAGAGAAUGAAAUGCACUGGCGGCAGAACAGGCACAGUAAAGGCAGGCACUUCCCCAAGCCUGGCGUAGAGGGAGCAAGUCGUGGGGUACGCAGGUCAUUCAGUGUCUUGGUCUAUUAAUUACUGUGGCCAUGUCUAUGCGGCAACUGCUACAGCAGCACAGUGGUGGCACCGCAACUACGCCACUGUAGCACCGUCGUGCAGACCCUUCUUCCAGCGACAAAAGACAUUUUUCCAUUGAAGUUGUGCAUCCAAGAGGCAGUAGCGAGGCCAAUGGAAGGCUCCGUCUGUCAGCCCAGCCAGGGCUACACCAGAGGCUAGGUUGACCUAAGUGUGGUGCUCAACGUGUGCAAUUUUUCGCAGCACAGGCACCUCAGCACUUCCUGCUUGUGACCAGGACCAGAAGCAGAAAUGCCAAAAUAUCAUAUGAGAAGUUUGCUUUUGCAAAAUGUCUGGCCAUGUUUUGCAGAGGGCCUGGAUAGUUCAGAAAAGAGUUGGAGAGCAUCUGAAUUUCUGGCUGCUUCUCUGGCACAAUCACACCAAGCUCUGUCCAUCAUUAACUCAGGCCUCCUGUGUUUAUUAAAAUAUUCAUUUUUUAUUUAGCAUUUACAUUGCCCAGAGGCCCCGGUCAAGCUCUGGUCCCAAUUAUGCUAAGAUGUGGAAGUACAUAAUUUUUCUCUCCGGCUAGCCAGACAGCAAAGCAGAGUCCUCUGAACAAGGGAAAGGACAGAAUAUUGGAAUGCAAAGGUUCUGCAGCAGCUGGGCCUGGAGAACUUGGAAAGUUUGACUCUGGAUGCAGUCAGUGGGAGUGGCAGACAGAACUGUGCAGAGGGAACCGGAAGGUGGGGAAUGACUGUUGAGAGGCAGAGUCUGAAGCAAGUCAAGAAGGCAGCAGAGUGAGAAUCACCACUGAAGAAAGGUGAAGAGGAAGCACAGUGCAUGCGAAGAAAAUGGUCAGAGCCAUGAAAAUGACCUGACAAAAGAAAAAGGGAUGGACCCAAAGAAGAAACCAACAGAAUCGGAGCAAGUGAGAGCAGAGAAAGUGGGAGAGGAAGAAAAACAGAUGGAGAAACCCCACGUGAGAAGGAAACAGCAACCGGUGUCUCCAGGUGUGAGCCUGUAUCAUGGAAAAGCGAUGAUAUUAAUUAACAAUCUCGGUCACAAGGACCAGACAGCCAUUUGACAUGAGAGGUGUUGACACUGGCCUUUCUGCAAUGCAGCUAGGUAUCUCCAGCAGCAUCAACGAGCUUUAAAUCAGGCCCCUUCUCCUGUUGAACGGAAUUAGAUCCACUCCUGUUAUUUUUGCUUAGUCCAUAAAUCCCUUUGUUAGCUGUGGGGUUUUUGAAGGCUUUUGCCCCUUCAUUUGUGCAACUCACUGGCAGUGGGGAAAGGGAGGGAACUACCUCCAGGGGAUUUUGCUGCACA